rnacentral:rRNA from 1 species
AACGAACGCUGGCGGCAGGCUUAACACAUGCAAGUCGAACGGUUGUAGCAAUACAGCAGUGGCGCACGGGUGAGUAACGCGUGGAUAUCUGCCUUUUGGUUCGGAAUAACUCCGGGAAACUGGAGCUAAUACCGGAUGGUUCCUACGGGAUAAAGAUUUAUCGCCAAAAGAUGAGUCCGCGUACGAUUAGCUAGUUGGUGGGGUAAUGGCCCACCAAGGCGACGAUCGUUAGCUGGUCUGAGAGGACGAUCAGCCACACUGGGACUGAGACACGGCCCAGACUCCUACGGGAGGCAGCAGUGGGGAAUAUUGGACAAUGGGGGCAACCCUGAUCCAGCCAUGCCGCGUGAGUGAUGAAGGCCUUCGGGUUGUAAAGCUCUUUUGGCGGGGACGAUGAUGACGGUACCCGCAGAAUAAGCCCCGGCUAACUUCGUGCCAGCCGCCGCAGUAAUAC